UCCUGUGCCGACCACUGGGGUUGCUCUUG
rnacentral:piRNA from 1 species